rnacentral:rRNA from 1 species
UACAGAGGUCUCAAGCGUUGUUCGGAUUCAUUGGCGUAAAGGGUGCGUAGGCGGCGCGGUAAGUCGGGUGUGAAAUCUCGGGGCUUAACUCCGAAACUGCAUUCGAUACUGCCGUGCUUGAGGACUGGAAAGGAGACUGGAAUUUACGGUGUAGCGGUGAAAUGCGUAGAUAUCGUAAGGAAGACCAGUGGCGAAGGCGGGUCUCUGGGCCGAUAUCGACGCUGAGGAGCGAAAGCGUGGGGAGCGAACAAG